ACUCAAAUGAAUUGACGGGGGCCCGCACAAGCGGUGGAGCAUGUGGAUUAAUACGUCACUAACCGUAGAACCUUACCCAGGCUUGACAUCUGGCGAACCCCGCGGAAAGGCGGGGGUGCCCCGCAAGGGGAGCGCCAAGACAGGUGUUGCAUGGCUGUCGUCAGCUCGUGUCGUGAGAUGUUGGGUUAAGUCCCGCAACGAGCGCAACCCUCACCGCCUGUUGCCAGCAUUGAGUUGGGCACUCUGGCGGAACUGCCCGGGUAACCGGGAGGAAGGUGGGGACGACGUCAAGUCAGCAUGGCCCUUACGCCUGGGGCUUCACACAUGCUACAAUGGCCGGUACAAAGGGUUCCAAGACCGUGAGGUGGAGGCAAUCCCAAAAAGCCGGUCCCAGUUCGGAUCGCAGGCUGCAACUCGCCUGCGUGAAGUCGGAAUCGCUAGUAACCGCCGGUCAGCUAAACGGCGGUGAAUACGUUCCCGGGCCUUGUACACACCGCCCGU
rnacentral:rRNA from 1 species